CAUGAAAGUGGACAGUUACAGCUUUUAACUUGCAAUACAAGUUAAAUUCUAACAUUUUCUCGCUCUUCAGUCCACAAAUUUCUUUGCGACUGAAUGAAGUGUCCCUUGAAAAUUAGAACUGUCUCUCCAGUACAAUUCCUCCGCUAAUUAUUAGUUUCAAAAGUAAUAAUUUCUAAUGUUUGUGACCGGCCUAUGCAUUACUAUCUAGGAAGGAAUAUACGUGGAAGAUGCUACUUGGGUACGUCGCUUUCUUUUCAUUGUCAUAUUCAUUGUGGAAUCUACAUUUAUAAGUAGAAUAAAUCUUCACAGAAGCCACUGUUAUGCUACAUCCAUUGCACACAUUACGUGUAGACCGGGUUCACUAACAAUGCUAAACCGGUUUUCUCCAUUUCAUCUCUCUCAGAGCUCGCGCCCCUCAUUCAACCAUUUACCCCCCAACCCCAAGCCCUCCCAUCUCAAAGCUCUCAAAGCACGACCUCAGCUCUCACCACCACAACCUCAGCCCUCUCAACUCUCAAGGAGAUCAAUCCCCCAGCCCUCGAUCCCAUCUCUCCACCAAUCGAGUCCCCAAGCCGUCCUAUCUCUCCACCAAUGAGUCCCCAAGCCCUCCAGAGUAUUUCUCCACCAAUGAAGCCCUCGGCCCCUUGGUUCCUUCAAUCCAUCAACGAAGCCCUCAGUCCACCAAAGCCCUUAGAUGUGCGGGAGGGGAUGUUACUUAUGUUUCUGGCAGAUUAGUCAUUGCUGCAGCUGGAAAGAGUUCCAAUGGUAUUAAUGUGGUUAUAUGGGAUACAUUGGUUCCCCCUUCAACCUUUCGAGUUUCCAUUAUAUAUCAUGAAGGUUUUCCUUUUACUUUGAAACUGCACAUGGUGAAACUGGCUAUACAACUCUAACUUUGGUGCUGGAAUGACAGAGGAUUCACUGAAGAUGUUACUCUUUUUGCAAAGAUUUUGAUUGAAUCUCAAAAUGUCCUUUUAUGUUAUGUAUUUAGAUAGCCACAAUAUUUGUAUAACUGGAAUGAUCCUGAAGUUAUGAGAAUCUGUUCAUGUACAUGAUGGCAUUUAUUUUAUGAACAUGUGGUUAAUUUCAAUGGAAUAUCUAGGCAAUUUGAGCUUCAUCCA